CCGAGGUGUCUUACAAGCCCGUCGAGGAAGCUGAGGCGGUAAGUCACUGAUUUCUUUAGUCGCCUACUUGGUCUAAGGAUUCAUGUGCUUUCAGCUCCAACUGGCCAUCAGCUCGG
rnacentral:ncRNA from 2 species